rnacentral:rRNA from 1 species
AAUACCGGAGAAUGUUAUCACGGGAGACACACGGCGGGUGCUAACGUCCGUCGUGAAGAGGGAAACAACCCAGACCGCCAGCUAAGGUCCCAAAGUCAUGGUUAAGUGGGAAACGAUGUGGGAAGGCCCAGACAGCCAGGAUGUUGGCUUAGAAGCAGCCAUCAUUUAAAGAAAGCGUAAUAGCUCACUGGUCGAGUCGGCCUGCGCGGAAGAUGUAACGGGGCUAAACCAUGCACCGAAGCUGCGGCAGCGACGCUUAUGCGUUGUUGGGUAGGGGAGCGUUCUGUAAGCCUGCGAAGGUGUGCUGUGAGGCAUGCUGGAGGUAUCAGAAGUGCGAAUGCUGACAUAAGUAACGAUAAAGCGGGUGAAAAGCCCGCUCGCCGGAAGACCAAGGGUUCCUGUCCAACGUUAAUCGGGGCAGGGUGAGUCGACCCCUAAGGCGAGGCCGAAAGGCGUAGUCGAUGGGAAACAGGUUAAUAUUCCUGUACUUGGUGUUACUGCGAAGGGGGGACGGAGAAGGCUAUGUUGGCCGGGCGACGGUUGUCCCGGUUUAAGCGUGUAGGCUGGUUUUCCAGGCAAAUCCGGAAAAUCAAGGCUGAGGCGUGAUGACGAGGCACUACGGUGCUGAAGCAACAAAUGCCCUGCUUCCAGGAAAAGCCUCU